AAGCUCGUAGUUGAAUUUCGGGAUUAGUACGUCGGUCGUGCCUUAGGUACGUACUGGUGUCACUGGUUCCUACCUUCUGACGAACCAUCAUGUCAUUAAUUUGGUGUGGUGGGGAAUCAGGACUGUUACUUUGAAAAAAUUAGAGUGUUUAAAGCAGGCUCGCGCUUGAAUACAUUAGCAUGGAAUAAUGAAAUAGGACGUUGAUCCUAUUUUGUUGGUUUCUAGGAUUGACGUAAUGAUUAAUAGGGAUAGUUGGG
rnacentral:rRNA from 1 species